rnacentral:misc_RNA from 1 species
GAUGAAGAACGUAGCGAAAUGCGAUAAGUAAUGUGAAUUGCAGAAUUCAGUGAAUCAUCGAAUCAUUGAACGCACAUUGCGCCCGCCAGUAUUCUGGCGGGCAUGCCUGUUCGAGCGUCAUUACAACCCUCAGGCCCCCGGGCCUGGCGUUGGGGAUCGGCGGAAGCCCCCUGCGGGCACAACGCCGUCCCCCAAAUACAGUGGCGGUCCCGCCGCAGCUUCCAUUGCGUAGUAGCUAACACCUCGCAACUGGAGAGCGGCGCGGCCACGCCGUAAAACACCCAACUUCUGAAUGUUGACCUCGAAUCAGGUAGGAAUACCCGCUGAACUUAAGCAUAUCAAUAAGCGGAGGA